rnacentral:rRNA from 1 species
UACGGAGGGGGCUAGCGUUGUUCGGAAUCACUGGGCGUAAAGAGCGCGUAGGCGGUUUGACAAGUUGAGAGUGAAAGCCCAGGGCUUAACCCUGGAAAUGCUCUCAAAACUGUUAGACUAGAGAAUGAUAGAGGAUGAUGGAAUUCCUAGUGUAGAGGUGAAAUUCUUAGAUAUUAGGAGGAACACCGGUGGCGAAGGCGGUCAUCUGGGUCAUUUCUGACGCUGUGGCGCGAAAAGCG